rnacentral:rRNA from 1 species
GGGAAUAUUGGACAAUGGGCGCAAGCCUGAUCCAGCAAUGCCGCGUGAGUGAUGAAGGCCUUAGGGUUGUAAAGCUCUUUUACCAGGGAUGAUAAUGACAGUACCUGGAGAAUAAGCUCCGGCUAACUCCGUGCCAGCAGCCGCGGUAAUACGGAGGGAGCUAGCGUUGUUCGGAAUUACUGGGCGUAAAGCGCACGUAGGCGGUUAUUCAAGUCAGAGGUGAAAGCCCGGGGCUCAACCCCGGAACUGCCUUUGAAACUAGAUGACUAGAAUCUUGGAGAGGUCAGUGGAAUUCCGAGUGUAGAGGUGAAAUUCGUAGAUAUUCGGAAGAACACCAGUGGCGAAGGCGACUGACUGGACAAGUAUUGACGCUGAGGUGCGAAAGCGUGGGGAGCAAACA